AGAGUUUGAUCCUGGCUCAGGAUGAACGCUAGCGGCAGGCCUAAUACAUGCAAGUCGAACGGUGAUAGCAAUAUCAUAGUGGCGCACGGGUGCGUAACACGUAUGCAACCUACCUUAUACUGAGGGAUAGCCUUUCGAAAGGGAGAUUAAUACCUCAUAACACAUUGAACUGGCAUCAGUUUAUUGUUAAAGAUUUAUUGGUAUAAGAUGGGCAUGCGUCCAAUUAGUUAGUUGGCGAGGUAACGGCUCACCAAGACGAUGAUUGGUAGGGGAACUGAGAGGUUAAUCCCCCACACUGGCACUGAGAUACGGGCCAGACUCCUACGGGAGGCAGCAGUAGGGAAUAUUGGGCAAUGGAGGCAACUCUGACCCAGCCAUGCCGCGUGCAGGAAGAAGGCGUUAUGCGUUGUAAACUGCUUUUAUAUAGGAAGAAAUAGACCUUGCGAGGUAAGUUGACGGUACUAUAUGAAUAAGCACCGGCUAACUCCGUGCCAGCAGCCGCGGUAAUACGGAGGGUGCAAGCGUUGUCCGGAUUUAUUGGGUUUAAAGGGUGCGUAGGCGGUUUAUUAAGUCAGUGGUGAAAGACGGUCGCUCAACGAUUGCAGUGCCAUUGAUACUGGUAG
rnacentral:rRNA from 1 species